GCAGCAGGCGCGCAAAUUACCCACUCCCGGCACGGGGAGGUAGUGACGAAAAAUAACGAUACGGGACUCAUCCGAGGCCCCGUAAUCGGAAUGAGUAUACUCUAAAUCCUUAUACGAGUAUCAAUUGGAGGGCAAGUCUGGUGCCAGCAGCCGCGGUAAUUCCAGCUCCAAUAGCGUAUAUUAAAGUUGUUGCGGUUAAAAAGCUCGUAGUUGGAUCUGUGUCCCGCACCGUCGGUUCACCGCCUGUCGGUGUUCAACUGGCGCGUACGCGGGACGUCCUGCCGGUGGCGGUCCGGUUCCCGGAGGGUGCGUAGGGGCGGUCCUUGCUUCGCUCGCGUCAACCCCGAAGGCCCUCUCGGUGUUUCCGGCCGCCUUUUACAUCCCGUCGCGGUGCUCUUCACCGAGUGUCGAGGCGGGCCGGCACGUUUACUUUGAACAAAUUAGAGUGCUUUAAGCAGGCCCUGUCCCGCCUGUAUGUUGUGUGCAUGGAAUAAUGGAAUAGGACCUCGGUUCUAUUUUGUUGGUUUUCGGAAUCUGAGGUAAUGAUCAAUGGGGACAGGCGGGGGCAUUCGUAUUGCGACGUUAGAGGUGAAAUUCUUGGAUCGUCGCAAGACGGACCGAAGCGAAAGCAUUUGCCAAGUAUGUUCUCGUCGAUCAAGAACGAAAGUUAGAGGUUCGAAGGCGAUCAGAUACCGCCCUAGUUCUAACCAUAAACUAUGCCUGCCAGCGAUCCGCCGAAGUUCCUCCGAUGACUCGGCGGGCAGCUUCCGGGAAACCAGAGCUUUUGGGUUCCGGGGGAAGUAUGGUUGCAAAGCUGAAACUUAAAGGAAUUGACGGAAGGGCACCACCAGGAGUGGAGCCUGCGGCUUAAUUUGACUCAACACGGGAAAACUCACCAGGCCCGGACACCGGAAGGAUUGACAGAUUGAGAGCUCUUUCUUGAUUCGGUGGGUGGUGGUGCAUGGCCGUUCUUAGUUGGUGGAGCGAUUUGUCUGGUUAAUUCCGAUAACGAACGAGACUCUAGCCUACUAACUAGGCGUACCCGGUAUCCACAAUCGUGCUACCGGCGAUCAAAUUUCUUCUUAGAGGGACAGGCGGCUUCUAGCCGCACGAGACUGAGCAAUAACAGGUCUGUGAUGCCCUUAGAUGUCCUGGGCCGCACGCGCGCUACACUGAAGGAAUCAGCGUGUCUUCCCUGUCCGAAAGGACCGGGUAACCCGCUGAACCUCCUUUGUGCUAGGGAUUGGGGCUUGCAAUUGUUCCCCAUGAACGAGGAAUUCCCAGUAAGCGCGAGUCAUAAGCUCGCGUUGAUUACGUCCCUGCCCUUUGUACACACCGCCCGUCGCUACUACCGAUUGAAUGAUUUAGUGAGGUCUUCGGACCGGUGCGCGGAGGCCGCUUCGCGGUCUCCGAUGUUGCUGGAAAGAUGACCAAACUUGAUCAUUUAGAGGAAGUAAAAGUCGUAACAAGGUUUCCGUAGGUGAACCUGCGGGAAGGA
rnacentral:rRNA from 1 species